UUGAAGCGGGUCUGUGGUUGCAAGCCGAUGCCAGUCGCAGGCAAAACGGUCCACGUAAUCCAUCCAAAGCGGUGGGGAGCAUGGUGCGGCUUAGAAGUAAGCCCGGCCGCGUUAAAAGCGCGAGAGAACGGCGUGGGGGCAGAGAAUGCUAUGAGCAAAGUUCCCGCCGGCGAGUGUGGGGUCAAAGACCAGGUCAGCCGAUCUUCAA
rnacentral:ncRNA from 1 species